rnacentral:rRNA from 1 species
GACAGAGGGUGCAAACGUUGUUCGGAAUUACUGGGCGUAAAGCGCGCGCAGGCGGCCUUGCAAGUCGGGCGUGAAAUCCCACGGCUCAACCGUGGAAGUGCACUCGAAACUGCGAGGCUAGAGUCUUGGAGAGGAAGGCGGAAUGCUGGGUGUAGAGGUGAAAUUCGUAGAUAUCAAGCGGAACACCGGUGGCGAAGGCGGCCUUCUGGACAGUAACUGACGCUGAGACGCGAAAGCGUGGGGAGCAAACAGG